rnacentral:rRNA from 1 species
GAUGAAUGCUGGCGGCGUGCCUAAUACAUGCAAGUCGAGCGAAUGGAUUAAGAGCUUGCUCUUAUGAAGUUAGCGGCGGACGGGUGAGUAACACGUGGGUAACCUGCCCAUAAGACUGGGAUAACUCCGGGAAACCGGGGCUAAUACCGGAUAACAUUUUGAACCGCAUGGUUCGAAAUUGAAAGGCGGCUUCGGCUGUCACUUAUGGAUGGACCCGCGUCGCAUUAGCUAGUUGGUGAGGUAACGGAUCACCAAGGCAACGAUGCGUAGCCGACCUGAGAGGGUGAUCGGCCACACUGGGACUGAGACACGGCCCAGACUCCUACGGGAGGCAGCAGUAGGGAAUCUUCCGCAAUGGACGAAAGUCUGACGGAGCAACGCCGCGUGAGUGAUGAAGGCUUUCGGGUCGUAAAACUCUGUUGUUAGGGAAGAACAAGUGCUAGUUGAAUAAGCUGGCACCUUGAUGGUACCUAACCAGAAAGCCACGGCUAACUACGUGCCAGCCGCCGCGGUAA